UGAGGAAUAUUGGUCAAUGGGCGGAAGCCUGAACCAGCCAAGUCGCGUGAGGGAUUAAGGCCCUGCGGGUCGUAAACCUCUUUUGCCGGGGAGCAGGGGGAGCCACGCGUGGCUCCCUGGAGAGUACCCGGAGAAAAAGCAUCGGCUAACUCCGUGCCAGCAGCCGCGGUAAUACGGAGGAUGCGAGCGUUAUCCGGAUUUAUUGGGUUUAAAGGGUGCGCAGGCGGCCUUGCAAGUCAGCGGUCAAAUCGAGGGGCUCAACCCCUUUCCGCCGUUGAAACUGCGGGGCUCGAGUGGGCGAGAAGUAGGCGGAAUGCGUGGUGUAGCGGUGAAAUGCAUAGAUAUCACGCAGAACCCCGAUUGCGAAGGCAGCCUACCGGCGCUCGACUGACGCUCAUGCACGAAAGCGCGGGGAUCGAACAGG
rnacentral:rRNA from 1 species